rnacentral:sRNA from 1 species
GGUGAGCAUCGCGGUGGGCUGUGCCACCCGCAACAGGACGGUGCCCUUCUGCAGCACUUUUGCAGCCUUCUUCACGCGGGCCUUUGACCAGAUUCGCAUGGCCGCCAUCUCUGAGAGCAACAUCAACCUCUGCGGCUCCCACUGCGGCGUUUCCAUCGGGGAAGACGGGCCCUCCCAGAUGGCCCUGGAAGAUCUGGCUAUGUUUCGGUCAGUCCCCACAUCAACUGUCUUUUACCCAAGUGAUGGUGUUGCUACAGAGAAGGCAGUGGAACUAGCCGCCAAUACAAAGGUAGGUCUCAUGGCUGUUCUUUCUCCUGCUGGCAGCCAUCGCUUCCCGAGGGAAACAGAAGAGGAGGCCAGAGCUGGUCACUGCUGCCCCAGGGUGUGUUUCCUGACCUUGCCCCUGGUGUUUGUGUAGCUUGUGGAAGUUAGACAAGAAAAAAUGAAAUACACGCCCCACUUACUGCCUCGUGGCAGACAUUGUCAACUGAUUGCCACAGUCUGUCUCUGCUGAGAAUCCUGGCAGCCUAGGCUGGUCCGGCAGUUGACACCUCUCUACCCUCCUGAGUUGGGUUCUCCAAGACAGGCAGGGAUGAGCUGAGCCCUGUGGUCCAGG